rnacentral:lncRNA from 1 species
UAUACCUUUUCAUCAAUUCAUCAACUUUCUCUUUUGGCUUAAAUGAAUUAAGCGAUUACUCAAAAGUCUCUCUCCUGCACACAAAACACACACAAGCAAUAUUUAAACAAGAUGAAUUUCCACAAAUUGGUCUUCAUAGUGAUAGUGAUGUUGGUUCUUUGCCAUUCCACUCAUGGAGGAAAACUAUACGAAGAGGGCAGAGAGGAAAACAACAUACACAACCCUGGAGGGUGGCGUAGAAAAAGAAGUAUUAAACAAAAAGAUGACGUGGAACUCCACCACAAAGAUGCCAAAUCAUUUGCUACUCAAGAUGAAGGGAGCAAUAUUAUCUGAUUUCUCAUCAAAACGGAUCCGAAAUAUCUACUGCUAAACUUUGACGCUUACUACCGCAGUAACCGCAGCUACCCAAUUAUCUUUUGAGUAUACGUUAGCCAAUCAGAAAGCAGACCAAUCGCCCUGGUUUCGAUUGGAAGAAAACACCAACUCUCCAACGAUGUUUUCUCUGAUUGACUAAUGUGUAAACAAGUUAUCUAAUCUGGAUAACUAAAUAAUUACUGAUGUGAAACUAGAAAUAAUGAAAAUAACUAUUUAAGGGUUUAAAAGAGUUGUUGUUUUGUUUUUCUUGAGCUGUAUACGCCUAUUUCAAAAAAAAUGUCCGAAAUUUGAAAUGGGUGAUCUGAGAUUAAACAGAAUGUUUUGUAGCUUUACGUUUUCUGGUUAAAAUGUGAAAAAUUAUAUUUAUAUUUCAAACGUCAUUCCUUAUAUUCCAAUCUAAUAGGAAACUACGUUAUAUGGCUGUGAAUAUUACACAAUUUGCAGCGUGCUACUCGAUCUCAGAUUUCAGAUUUCAAAUCUCCAACCGAUAACUUGUUUUAAAUAGGUGUGAUUGAUUUAUUUGCUGACCUCGAAUAGCCCCAUUUCAAAAUUAUUUCAAAAUUGAGACGCAAAAUUUAAUUUGUAUUAUAAUAUAAAGAAAUCACACUUUUCCUGAAUCAGUUCUUUGGUAUAUUCGCAUAUAAGAUAAUUUUGUAAAAGGGCCUAAAGUCUCUAGCUUCAUUCCUCUGUUGUAAAGGGAUGGCAAUGACAAAAUAAUCUAUUCUUUUGCUAUAAUUUUACUUUGCGAGAUGGGAUUAUAUUAAGUUCAAUUAAUACAACGUGUAUCAAUAAUGAAAGCUACAUUCUUGAAGAGCAAUAAAAGCGUCAACAAAACG